UGGGGAAUAUUGCACAAUGGGCGCAAGCCUGGUGCAGCCAUGCCGCGUGUGUGAAGAAGGCCUUCGGGUUGUAAAGCACUUUCAGUUGUGAGGAAAAGUUAGUAGUUAAUACCUGCUAGCCGUGACGUUAACAACAGAAGAAGCACCGGCUAACUCCGUG
rnacentral:rRNA from 1 species